rnacentral:lncRNA from 1 species
UCACAUUCCCAUAUAUAUAGAGAGAUAUGUUCAAGUCUGAAACAUUACUCAAUAACAUUUUUCUUCAUUUCCAAUUAAACACUUGUUUCUUCAACUCUUGAGCUUCUCAAUUCUAUUAUUACAUAAUGGCUACUCUUGCAAGUUCAAUGUCAUCGUUAAGGGGUUCAAAGAUCAGAAAAUGGCAAGGAUGCUCAAAGCAAGUUAGGCAGCAGAGAGCAAGACUUUACAUUAUUUGGAGAUGUACAGUCCUGCUUCUCUGCUGGCACGACUAACCGUUGUUAUAGGUUCAAUUUCCAGUAGUGUACUUAAGUUUUCAGAUGAAUGAGACGAAGGAUGGGUCGAUUUUGUAUUGUUUUUUGAACGGUUGUCAUAUAGCCCUGAUUUUUGUGUAGGAGCAUAGUUAAAUUACAUGUGAAUGUAAAAAUAUAUACAAAGAGCCUAAGUGAAUAAAACUCGAGGACACUUUUCUUAUUAGUAAUUGACAAGGAGCUUUGUGUUUUUCAUCUAUAUGUAUAUUUUCAGUUUUAUGAUCUGAAACCAAACCAUAAAUUAUGGAUCCCAAUGCUUCUCUUUCUUCGUUUUGCAAUUUGAUUUAAGAAAAUUAAUAUCAGUAAGGGGUUCUACAACUAAAUCUAAUUAGAGACACUAAUCUAAGGGUAAUUAAGGUUUAGUAGGAGUCUAGGAGAUAUGGAGACCUAAUUUGCAAAUACUUCAUUUGCAUAAAUGACUAAUUAUUUAAAGUUGGGAGAAGGCAUAGAAACACAGGUACAACUGCAAACUCUUUCUCGUCCUUCUUUUCACUAUUUCGAUAAAAUUACAACUGCAAACAAAGAACUAAGCUCGAGCACACAAAAGGAUAAUGAAGAGAGACAAUUUGAUCAAGCGAUUCCCAGAAGGAAAAUAAUUAAAAGAAGAGAUGGGAGAUCAUAGAGUUCGGAGCCUAAAGGGCAAAUUUUUUCAGUCAAAAUUUCAAAAAGACACAUCAAAAUGGAAAACUUCCAAAACGGACAAGGUAAGUGUUAGUCCACUUUAGUCCACAUCAUAAGUGUAAGGUAAGAUGGUAAGUUUUCUUUAUAAGGUAAAUAGAGUUUCUUACCUUAUCUAUUAUCUAUUUGCCAGGCUUCGGGAAAGUGCAAGGUAUUACAAG